CUUUCUCCGCCGGCGACCGGCGCACGGGUGAGUAACACGUAUGCAACCUGCCCCCUGUCAGGGGGACAACCCGCCGAAAGGCGGGCUAAACCCGCGUACAUGCCACCGGGGCAUCCCGGAGGCAGGAAAGGCUUCGGCCGGACAGGGAUGGGCAUGCGGCGCAUUAGGCAGUAGGCGGGGUAACGGCCCACCUAACCGACGAUGCGUAGGGGUUCUGAGAGGAAGGUCCCCCACACUGGUACUGAGACACGGACCAGACUCCUACGGAAGGCAGCAG
rnacentral:rRNA from 1 species